rnacentral:misc_RNA from 1 species
CCAAUAGCGUAUAUUAAAGUUGUUGUGGUUAAAAAGCUCGUAGUUGAACCUUGGGCCUGGCUGGCCGGUCCGCCUCACCGCGUGUACUGGUCCGGCCGGGCCUUUCCCUCUGUGGAACCUCAUGCCCUUCACUGGGUGUGACGGGGAAGCAGGACUUUUACUGUGAAAAAAUUAGAGUGCUCCAAGCAGGCCUAUGCUCGAAUACAUUAGCAUGGAAUAAUGAAAUAGGACGUGCGGUUCUAUUUUGUUGGUUUCUAGGACCGCCGUAAUGAUUAAUAGGGACAGUCGGGGGAAUCAGUAUUCAAUUGUCAGAGGUGAAAUUCUUGGAUUUAUUGAAGACUAACUACUGCGAAAGCAUUUGCCAAGGAUGUUUUCAUUAAUCAGGAACGAAAGUUAGGGGAUCGAAGACGAUCAGAUACCGUCGUAGUCUUAACCAUAAACUAUGCCAGCCAGCGAUCCGGCUGUGUUCCUCAAAUGACACGCCGGGCAGCUUCCG